UACGUAGGGGGCUAGCGUUGUCCGGAAUCAUUGGGCGUAAAGCGCGUGUAGGCGGUCCGGUAAGUCCGCUGUGAAAGUCGGGGGCUCAACCCUCGGAUGCCGGUGGAUACUGUCGGGCUUGAGUACGGAAGAGGCGAGUGGAAUUCCUGGUGUAGCGGUGAAACGCGCAGAUAUCAGGAGGAACACCAAUUGCGAAGGCAGCUCGCUGGGACGUUACUGACGCUGAGAUGCGAAAGCGUGGGGAGCAAACAGG
rnacentral:rRNA from 1 species